rnacentral:tRNA from 2 species
GGAGAGGUGUCCGAGUUGGCCGAAGGAGCGCGACUGGAAAUCGCGUAGGCGGUUUGAAGCCGUCUCGUGGGUUCGAAUCCCACCCUCUCCG